rnacentral:rRNA from 1 species
GGUGAACGCUGGCGGCGUGCCUAAUACAUGCAAGUCGAGCGAACGGACGAGAAGCUUGCUUCUCUGAUGUUAGCGGCGGACGGGUGAGUAACACGUGGAUAACCUACCUAUAAGACUGGGAUAACUUCGGGAAACCGGAGCUAAUACCGGAUGAUAUUUUGAACCGCAUGGUUCAAAAGUGAAAGACGGUCUUGCUGUCACUUAUAGAUGGAUCCGCGCUGCAUUAGCUAGUUGGUAAGGUAACGGCUUACCAAGGCAAUGAUGCAUAGCCGACCUGAGAGGGGGAUCGGCCACACUGGAACUGAGACACGGCCCAGACUCCUACGGGAGGCAGCAGUAGGGAAUCUUCCGCAAUGGGCGAAAGCCUGACGGAGCAACGCCGCGUGAGUGAUGAAGGUCUUCGGAUCGUAAAACUCUGUUAUUAGGGAAGAACAUAUGUGUAAGUAACUGUGCACAUCUUGACGGUACCUAAUCAGAAAGCCACGGCUAACUACGU